CAAAGGACCAGUCUCUAAAUGCCUCCCCUCCUUCUCUCCCACAUCCCUCUGUCUCUCUUCAGACCAUGUCAAAGGACCAGUCUCUAAAUGCCUCCCCUCCUUCUCUCUCUUCACAUCUCUCCGUCUCUCUUCAGACCAUGUCUAAGGGACCAGUCUC
rnacentral:lncRNA from 1 species